rnacentral:ncRNA from 2 species
GGAACGAAGCGGGGGUGCUCCCAUUCUGGAGCUGAGACAUACCCUUGGAACCUGAUCCGGUUAGCACCGGCGUAGGAAAGCUUCAGCGCUCAUGCC